rnacentral:tRNA from 1 species
GACCGCGUAGCUCAGUUGGCAGAGCAUUGGGCUAGUAUUCCAUAGGUCGAAGGUUCGAUUCCCACCGUGGUCA